rnacentral:rRNA from 1 species
CCUACGGGUGGCAGCAGUGGGGAAUAUUGGACAAUGGGGGGAACCCUGAUCCAGCCAUGCCGCGUGUGUGAAGAAGGCCCUCGGGUUGUAAAGCACUUUCAGUGAGGAAGAACGCCUGGUGGUUAAUACCCAUCAGGAAAGACAUCACUCACAGAAGAAGCACCGGCUAACUCCGUGCCAGCAGCCGCGGUAAUACGGAGGGUGCGAGCGUUAAUCGGAAUUACUGGGCGUAAAGCGCGCGUAGGUGGCUUGAUAAGCCGGUUGUGAAAGCCCCGGGCUCAACCUGGAAACGGCAUCCGGAACUGUCAAGCUAGAGUGCAGGAGAGGAAGGUAGAAUUCCCGGUGUAGCGGUGAAAUGCGUAGAGAUCGGGAGGAAUACCAGUGGCGAAGGCGGCCUUCUGGACUGACACUGACACUGAGGUGCGAAAGCGUGGGUAGCAAACAGGAUUAGAUACCCCAGUAGUC